GGAUAUCCCGUCGAGCUCGUCGAUGAUGACUUUUAACGAGAGCUUGAAGAGGAUCGCUGGAUCCGUUGUGUUGGAAGCAGGAAGCUUCGAGAUGCUGUUGAAGCAAGACUCAGGGUAACGAGUCACGCUGCAGAUUGUUUUAAGUGAGGUGGAUGGUGUUAACUCGGGGGGUUGACUCAGUGCUGGCUCGGAGGAGUUCUUGUUGUGAACCACGGCGGCGACUACGGCGGCGAUUAUUACGGCGAGGAGGAUUACGCCGGAAAUGGAUAGUAGGAUUAGACGUGUUCUUGUCUUUUUCUUUAAUGCUAUAUCUUGAGCUUCGUCUACUUUUCCAUAUCCUUUGAAGGAUUGCACCGAAUCCAUAAUGCUAAAAAUGGGUUAAAGCAAAGCUCCUUUUAGUUUGGUUUCUGAGUUCUUACUAAAGACACUUUUGGGGUUUGUGUUAUGUUCUGUUGUUGUUAUGUGUUGUUUAUGUGUUGUUGUCGUUUUAUAUAAAGUGUGGAGGCAAAGAAAUGUAAUGUGAAUCUACGAACGUGACUCGCUAGUUCCAUGGGGCUUUCUUGGUGUGUGCAAGUGCGCUAGUGUGUGAUAGUUGACCUCUCUGCAUGUGGAGAUUCAUGAUUAGGUUGUAAUUAUUUAACUACGUAACUUGAUUAUAAAGUAUAGUCUCCACCAUGUAGCCUUUAAUUUUUUGUCUUCCCAAUCAAGGGCAACAAUUCCAUGUCUUAUAAACCCAUUCAUAACAAUUUAAACUUUAUUUUAGAUGAGAUUGUACGGAGUUGUUUAAAAUAAUUGGGGAUCAUGUGGGUUGACCUAGUUUUAAAUCAUGAUUAUUUAUAUAAACUUAGAAAUUUGUUUGAAGUUUUUUGGUUUUGUUCUUUUUCGUGUAAUUUGAAUGUCUGUCAUUUUUUUGUGAAAAUAUAUACACAUAUAAGUUUCCGUAUGAAUUAAACUAGUCGGUAAUACGAGCUCGUACGAACUUUAUGUAAUUUAUGAAGGUGGAAAAAAUCAAGCUACUAUUUGGUACACAAAAUUCUUGAGGACAAUAAUUGAUUUUUGGCGCAAAUUUCAAGUAUACACAUUGGAAAUAAAGAAAACUACACAUUAAAAUGUACAUAAACAAAUAGAAAAUUGAAGUCAGGAGAAUAUUAUCUGGCAAAGAUUGAAAUGGCCAUGUGCUUGUCUAACAAGUGGCGUCUCAAUCUUAAUCUCUUGCAGUCUUAAAUCCGACAGGCGACAGCACAAAGUUUUACAAUUGGUUUGGUAACAUAGAGGAGUUCACUAAUACGUGUAGAUAAUUAGGUUUUCAUGUACUGAUUAAUAAAGGAAGAUAAAUAAUACUAACAACUAGAUUAAGACCCGCGCCUUGCGCGGGAUGAACAUUAUAUAUAUAAAUUAAUUUAUAUAUUAUAUAUUUAUAACAUAUUAUGAAAUAAUAAAUAUAUAUUGAAUAAUUAAAAUGGCAUUAUGUACUACUUAUAUAAUUAAAUUGGUGUGAACAUAUAAAUAAAUUUUAUAAAUCGAAAAAAUAUUUUUUCUAUUUGAUAUAAUAUAUAAUUAAAUUUAAAUGAUAGUAACAUAUAUAUGGUAUAUUUUAAUAUUAAUAUUUAUUAGAUGAUGUUUUUUGCUCAUUUUUUUAUCAUUUGUAUCUAUUAUAGCAAAAAGUCUAAAUUAGUGAUAACAAAAUUUUCACUAUGGGAUUAAUGGUUUAAGUAAUUUAUAAUAUUUUUAAAAAUUAAGCUGUCAAUAUUUUUUCAAAUUUUUUUAUCAAAAAAAUGUUCAAAGUAAAUUUCAAAAUUAAGAUAUUUAAGUAUUUUUAUAUGGCAUAUAGUUAAAUUUAAAAUGAUACAUAUAUUUCUAUAUCUUUUAUUUUUGAUACUUAUUAAAUGAGACUUUCAACUUAUAUUAUUUUUUAAUUAUUUGUAUCAUGUCAUAACAAAAGUUUUAAAUCAUAGAUCACAAAAUUUGAAUGUGAAACUUUUAAAAGUUUUAGUAAUUUAUACUCGUUUUUAAAAAUUCAAAAUAUAAUAUAUAAAUAAUUUUUUUUAAUUUUUCUUAUAUGGUUACUGUGAUUGUUUAAUUUAUUUUAAUAGCUUAAAAUUAAACAAAUAUAAUUAUAAUACACACUUAUUUUUAUCAAAUCUUUAUUAUUCAAAAUCAUUAAUUGUCAUAUAUACUCUAGCCACAUUAGGCAAUUCCGUAAUUUUAUUUAAGGAAAUAAUAAAGGAUAUUAAUAAUGUAUUUAUUGUGGUUUAAUAAAAAGCUUAUUAUAUAUUUAGAUGGACCAACUUAUUUUUCUAAAAAUUCUAAGAAUCAUUCUAGUGAUGACAUGUGGCUACAAAAAAAUGUUGCAAUGCUUCUCAAAUAAUAUAUAGGGGAUUUUUUUCAAUUUAGCAAGAAAGUGAAACCGGUCGACUGUAACCAGCCCCCACCACCAAUGAACUAACCUCUGUAACACUUAUAAUUACUUUAGACCCCAUCGCUUAAACAACCUAAAGGAUAUGUAUCCAGGCAGUCUAGCGCUUGCUACCCAACUGAAUCAGAAACGUGUGUUGAAUAAUCAUGUCUCGAGUUUCGCCAAUAGUUUUUAGUUUCUUUGGGGUCUUAUCCAUCUUACACAAAUAUUCUGCAUAGCCUGCUUACAUACAUAAGGACAUCGACGACGGCGGCGCUUCCGAAGAUGAAGUCGAUUGUUCCGGUGACGUCGCAGUCGCGGUAGAACUGGCGGUUGGAGUGAGGGUAAAGAGUGUCUUGGAAACCGUCGAAGGAGCAUUGGUAGUAGACGGAGAAGUCGGAGCCUGAUCGGAACGCCACCGCUUGAUGUUUCACUGCUCCGGCGGUGUUUAUGAUUCCGAUGUCUUUCAUUAUGAAUCCUUUGCCUUGUAUAGCUGCAAACACGGAGCAGUUUUAAUAAUCGUUGUGACAAAAAUACAAAAAAAAAAGUAGCAAAAGAGGAUAGGCGCGUAAAAUAUGUUUUUGGUUCGGUUUGUUUGAUUUUUUUUUUGGUUUUCUAUUUUUUUUUUAAUUUAGAAAUACAUGAACUAUUUUAGGUUUUUACAAAAUUCAAUUCGACUUCGAUUCUAUAUUAAGAACCAGUUAAGACCUGCAAAUUUUAGAUCUAAUUUUGUUCCAAUUCGAUUCAGAUUUUUAAAAUUUCAUAUAAUUCAAACAAAAACUAUAAAAAGGUUCAAGUAAUUAAAAACUUUGAUAAAAUAUCAGAUAAUCUGAAUUGUUUUGAUAAUUUUCUGUUUGUAAAAAGAAAUUUCUAUAUAAUUCAAAUAAAAAUAUUUGGGUGUUUUGGUUCUCAGAUAAUUUUCUGUUUGUAAAAAUAUUUUAGAUAUAUAAUUAUUUAAAUCAAAUAUAAUUGAUAUUCAUUCAAUUCUCGUUUUGAUUUCCUAUUUCGAAUUUAGAAAAACAUAAACCGUUUCGGUCUGAUUUUGGUUAAGGUUUUUAAUUUAAUUCGGUUUUAUAUAAAAUGUUAGUCUAAAAAGGAGUUUUCAGGUCUAGGAGAGGACUUACCAAACGUGGCCGUUUCAUAAGUCGGAGUCCCGUCCACGAAGUUCUUACUGCCGGAGAUAAUAGUCUUCGUCUUCCCGUCGCCGUAGAUCAUAACAUUCCACUUACCCUUAUCCAUCACCACAUUCUCAACGUACGUUCCACCUUUCACGUAUAUCACAAACACCUUCAAGCUCUUCUUCGGCACUCUCGCCACCGCUUCAUUCACCGUCUUCACAUCCCCCGUUCCAUCACCCGCCACCGUCACAUCCGGCUUCAACCCCGCCGUCUGCAACAGCCUCCGCCUCGCCCACUCAGGCGUCUGCUGCUGGCUCACCAAAAGCCGUCUCCUCCGGUGUAUCGGAACUCCGAAGUCGCUCAACGCGGCGAGGAUCUUGGCCACGAUGGCGAGGCUGUUGCUCGUGAACUCGGUGGACCGACUCAUCGCGGACUUGAGGCUCUGAGUGAUGUUCGAGUUCGCGUACUCCGUCUUGUUCUGAGCCAGCUCGUCUAGCGAGUCGAAACACGUCUCGUGGUCCGUCACCGUCGCGCUCAGCCAAGUCUUGAGAUCGUCGACGGUCGAAGAGUUUAGAGUCUUCUUAUUGCUCCCGUCGUCGUCCAUGACCGAAACGGUGUCGUUUAGCCGGUCCAACGCGUCCUCGAUCAUCUCCCCGCAUACCCUUAACGCGGAUUUGAUCCUCACGUCCUCCGUCUCCUUGGCCAGCUUCUCCGGUAAAUCGGAUAUCCCGUCGAGCUCGUCGAUGAUGACUUUUAACGAGAGCUUGAAGAGGAUCGCUGGAUCCGUUGUGUUGGAAGCAGGAAGCUUCGAGAUGCUGUUGAAGCAAGACUCAGGGUAACGAGUCACGCUGCAGAUUGUUUUAAGUGAGGUGGAUGGUGUUAACUCGGGGGGUUGACUCAGUGCUGGCUCGGAGGAGUUCUUGUUGUGAACCACGGCGGCGACUACGGCGGCGAUUAUUACGGCGAGGAGGAUUACGCCGGAAAUGGAUAGUAGGAUUAGACGUGUUCUUGUCUUUUUCUUUAAUGCUAUAUCUUGAGCUUCGUCUACUUUUCCAUAUCCUUUGAAGGAUUGCACCGAAUCCAUAAUGCUAAAAAUGGGUUAAAGCAAAGCUCCUUUUAGUUUGGUUUCUGAGUUCUUACUAAAGACACUUUUGGGGUUUGUGUUAUGUUCUGUUGUUGU
rnacentral:lncRNA from 1 species